CUAUACAUGCAGUCGANGAGUUCUGAUUAUUGAAAGGUGCUUGCAUCUUGAUUUAAUUUUGAACGAGUGGCGGACGGGUGAGUAACACGUGGGUAACCUGCCCUUAAGUGGGGGAUAACAUUUGGAAACAGAUGCUAAUACCGCAUAAAUCCAAGAACCGCAUGGUUCUUGGCUGAAAGAUGGCGUAAGCUAUCGCUUUUGGAUGGACCCGCGGCGUAUUAGCUAGUUGGUGAGGUAACGGCUCACCAAGGCAAUGAUACGUAGCCGAACUGAGAGGUUGAUCGGCCACAUUGGGACUGAGACACGGCCCAAACUCCUACGGGAGGCAGCAGUAGGGAAUCUUCCACAAUGGACGCAAGUCUGAUGGAGCAACGCCGCGUGAGUGAAGAAGGCUUUCGGGUCGUAAAACUCUGUUGUUGGAGAAGAAUGGUCGGCAGAGUAACUGUUGUCGGCGUGACGGUAUCCAACCAGAAAGCCACGGCUAACUACGUGCCAGC
rnacentral:rRNA from 1 species